UGAGGAAUAUUGGUCAAUGGGCGGAAGCCUGAACCAGCCAAGUAGCGUGAGGGAUGACUGCCCUAUGGGUUGUAAACCUCUUUUAUAAGGGAAUAAAAUACGGGACGUGUCCUGUUUUGCAUGUACCUUAUGAAUAAGGACCGGCUAAUUCCGUGCCAGCAGCCGCGGUAAUACGGAAGGUCCGGGCGUUAUCCGGAUUUAUUGGGUUUAAAGGGAGCGCAGGCGGUCUUAUAAGCGUGACGUGAAAUGCAGCGGCUCAACCGUAUGAUGUGCGUCGCGAACUGGAUGACUUGAGUUCGCGGGAGGUAGGCGGAAUUCGUGGUGUAGCGGUGAAAUGCUUAGAUAUCACGAAGAACUCCGAUUGCGAAGGCAGCUUACCGUAGCGUUACUGACGCUGAAGCUCGAAAGUGCGGGUAUCGAACAGGAUUAGAUA
rnacentral:rRNA from 1 species